AAGGCAGCAGGAGCAGAGAGCAACCAUUGCUGUGUCUGGCAGCAGGAAUACACAGUAGUGAAGAAGACGCCCAGCUAUCCCCACGUGUCAGGAGGACAUAGGAGGACCCAGAGCCCCAUCCCGGUGCCUCCACCUCACUCACUGAUACAUGAGGGAGACAAUGACCAGAAGAUCCUGGAACUCACCAACAAGAUCAUUCAGCUGCUGACUGGAGAGGAGGGGGAGUAUAUAGAGGAACACAGGGGUCUGUACAAGG